UCCCGCAGGAAGGGGCGGGCUGAGCGGGAGCAGCCCGGGGCCGUGGAGGACCCGGCCCGGAGUAGCGGGAAGGAUUUUCCAGCUACCAGUGCCCAGCAAGAGUUAUUCCAGGACAAGCACAGUGAUAAGGAGGAAUGAAAAAAGCCUUGUUCCAAGAUACUGUUUCAUGUGGAAUGACAACAGUUGAAACAGUAGUGGAAGAUAGAGAUUAUUUCAGUAAGAAAAAAAUAAAGAUCUAUCCAAAUCCAAACCAGAUUUUUUUUUUUCAUAUGUGAAUGUAAUAAAGGUAAAAUUAGUAUCUUCCUGGGCUUUUUAAAACUGAUUUUUGUUUUGUUUUGGUUUUUUUAGCAAAAUACAGUUUAAAAAAGUGAUCCAGAAGAGGGCAACAUUCACAGCCAUUCUGAGACCUAUGAUGAACAAAUGCUUUCACAUUGACAGAGGUUGCUGCGAUGAUUUGAGAGCAGAGGAUAGAACAAAAUAAAAGAAGCUGAAGUUAGAAGAACAGAAAAGGCCUUUGACACCCUGAGGAAUGGGAUCACAGAAGGAGAGGGAGCAGAUGCUGCGAAGAGAGAGGAUAUCAGGACCACCUCCUCAGCACAGCCUCCUGGGAAGGGAGUAUUCCCAACACUAUCACUUCUUUGUCAUCACAUGUCCCAAUGCCCUGUGCCAAAUGCCCUGUGUCCCAUGAUUCUUGCUCUGUUCAGCCCAGUGCUAGGUCAUACACUUGGAGACACAGUCACUGCAGUGCUUGAAUUCCAGAAGUUUGGCAUCGAGGAGUCCAGGUGAUGUGCAAGGUCAGUGUAUGGACCCAGAAGAUGAGUGGGCUGGCAAGGCUGAAGUAAAACCACGACUUUUUUUACUCUAGAUGCUGUAAAACAAAAUCACCUCUCUUCUCCUUUCUCCAAUCCCAUAGUUAUUUCAGCUGGAGUGCAAGGAGUGCAUUUUAGGCCUGACUAAUGGCAAUUUUUCUUCCUCCCACAAGGAAUACUAGAGCCUGUCGAUAUGGAAGGAUCUGCCAACAAGGCAUUAUGAGCAUCAGGGAUUUGAGUCAGAGCAUGGUGUGAGUCUGGAACUGGGCUGCAUGCCCAGGUGCUGAAGAUGGGUAAAAAAAUCAGAAAAGAAGGGAAAAGGACAGAAGAGUGGGGAGGUCAAAGUCUGUAAAGAGCUAGAGGAGGCACAUGCUGGAAGCACCUCUGAGUAUCUGCUGCAAUACUCGGGGUAUCUUCUGUAUACUGAAAUCUUCCCACCUUGUACACAUGGAAUAAUCCUCAAGCAUCAUCCAGUCUGAGUUAGUUUGACAUAGUCACCGAGUCACAGAAUUUACCAGGGAGCCCUUACAGUCCUGAUGGGAAAAGCAGGCACUUACAAACACUGCAAUAAUUAUUAUCAAAUUUUCAUAUUUGCUUUUAAUUUCACAGUGCUCAGGUCGAAUUAGCCUGAGGUCUGGAUCUCAAAACUAUUAACUCUCAUUGAUUAGAUAUUGAUAUGGGCUACUCUUUUCUGCAAAACUACCAGUUUUCCAUGCCUUUACAUAUCUAACUUGAGAGACCCUGAAGCCUGAUUUUUUCAAGGCUCUUUGGAAAGCCACAGUUUUUUCAGUGUUUUGACAUUGAUUCUGUGGCUUUAAAAAGCUUCAGCAUUGAAUUUCAAGUACAUAAUCAUUAAUAAUUUUGGAAAAUAUUACCUUAAAUACUUGUUAAAGGGGAACAGUAACAACGAAUUAAAGGCAGGCUUAUAAAACCAUAAUAAAGCAUUUUCACAAAGAAGUUGAUUUCCAAGACUGUGGUCCACAGAGUGACUCUGUCCUAAUGUCCUUCCUAAACUGAGAGGCAAGACACAUAGUCUUUCCCAGUGUGUCUUUGAAGCAUCAUGUCAGGAAGUGACCAGGGACAAUUUGGGUGCUUUAAGAAGGCAAGAACAACAAAGCCAGGACCUUUUCCUUGGUGCAUUUGUUCUGCCUCCACCUUAGGUCAUGUUUUCUCUUGUUUCCAGCAGUAAGCUCUGUAAGAUGGGACAUGCCUCUUGCUUCAUGUCUAUACAAGUGCCAGGUGCACUGCUAGAAAAAAUAAUCUGUGUACAGGAGAAGUGCCAGAAAGACUGGCAGCAUUCAGGAGGGUGAGGAGUGGGGACUUUCUGCUGCGCCUGGUGAGGAAAUGGAGCGAGGUUUCAUUCCAAAUGAAACGUGAGGAGAUUGCCUUUACAACUUCACAUGGGUCACAUCUUCUGUCUUGUGAAGUGGUCAGGGUCUCUGUGGUGUUAUGACUAGUUUGGCCAAGGAGCAGCUCAUGAGCACAAAACUCAAAACUUGUUUAGCUGAGUUUGCUGUCUCUUAAGUGAGUCAAAAAAUAGCAGAAAACAGCAAAUAUUUUCUCUCCUUCUAAACCUGAUGUGUGGAGUACUGGACUCAGUAUUCAUUCAAAUUUCUGUUUACACACAUGAGAGUGUUUCCUAACUCUGGCUCACCAAAUUGGUCCUCUCAAGUUCAAAUUACAGUACACUUGAAGUUCUGGUUAGCUCUUAUUAUCCAUAGUACUUUGUAAGAAUUUACAGCAUCCAAAACACAUUUAGAAUUAGAAAAAAACUGUGGAACAAGCUUCUCUACAACUAUCUUGGGCUUGUAUCCAUAGAAAUAGAGGCUGGAUUGGGAAAAACUCACUCUGUUAUUUUAAAUAAUCACUAUACAGUGAUUACUGUAAAGUAUGUGCUUUGUUUUAAGUGGUCUGACACUCAUUUCCAUAGAAACAGACAGAGGAUAGCAACCUGCUUGUUUGAACUGUCCUGUAGAUUCUGUCUGUGUCAGAAUGCAGGAAUAUAAAACUUUUUAAAAUGUGGGAAAAGCCUGGGUUUUU